UUCCAGACUCCUACGGGAGGCAGCAGUGAGGAAUAUUGGUCAAUGGGCGGGAGCCUGAACCAGCCAAGUCGCGUGAGGGAUGACGGCCCUAUGGGUUGUAAACCUCUUUUGCCGGGGAGCAAAGUGCCGCACGUGUGCGGUUUGGAGAGUACCCGGAGAAAAAGCAUCGGCUAACUCCGUGCCAGCAGCCGCGGUCAUACGUAGGAUCCGAGCAUUAUCCGGAGUGACUGGGUGUAAAGAGUUGCGUAGGUGGCAUAAUAAGUAGCUAGUGAAAUCUGGUGGCUCAACCAUCCAGACUAUUAGCUAAACUGUUAAGCUCGAGACCGUUAGGGGUAACUGGAAUUUCUAGUGUAGGAGUGAAAUCCGUAGAUAUUAGAAGGAACACCGAUAGCGUAGGCAGGUUACUGGGACGGUUCUGACACUAAGGCACGAAAGCGUAGGGAGCAAACGGGAUUAGAUACCCGCGUAA
rnacentral:rRNA from 1 species